rnacentral:rRNA from 1 species
GAUCCUGGCUCAGAAUCAACGCUGGCGGCGUGCCUAACACAUGCAAGUCGCACGAGAAAGGGUAGCAAUACCUGAGUAAAGUGGCGCACGGGUGAGUAACACGUGAAUUAUCUACCUCCGAGUGGGGAAUAACUGAGAGAAAUCUUAGCUAAUACCGCAUAACACUUACGAGUCAAAGCAGUAAUGCGCUUGGAGAGGAGUUCGCGGCAGAUUAGUUAGUUGGCGGGGUAAUGGCCCACCAAGACGAUGAUCUGUAUCCGGCCUGAGAGGGCGCACGGACACACUGGAACUGAAACACGGUCCAGACUCCUACGGGAGGCAGCAGUGGGGAAUUUUGCGCAAUGGGGGAAACCCUGACGCAGUAACGCCGCGUGGAGGAUGAAAUCCCUUGGGAUGUAAACUCCUUUCGAUAGGGAAGAUUAUGACGGUACCUAUAGAAGAAGCCCCGGCUAACUUCGUGCCAGCAGCCGCGGUAAUACGAGGGGGGCAAGCGUUGUUCGGAUUUAUUGGGCGUAAAGGGUGCGUAGGCGGUUUGGCAAGUCUUGUGUGAAAUCUUUGGGCUCAACCCAAAGCCUGCACAAGAAACUGCCGGGCUUGAGUAUGGGAGAGGUGAGUGGAAUUUCCGGUGUAGCGGUGAAAUGCGUAGAUAUCGGAAGGAACACCUGUGGCGAAAGCGGCUCACUGGACCAU